rnacentral:rRNA from 1 species
UACGUAGGGUGCGAGCGUUGUCCGGAAUUAUUGGGCGUAAAGAGCUCGUAGGCGGUUUGUCGCGUCUGCCGUGAAAGUCCGGGGCUCAACUCCGGAUCUGCGGUGGGUACGGGCAGACUAGAGUGAUGUAGGGGAGACUGGAAUUCCUGGUGUAGCGGUGAAAUGCGCAGAUAUCAGGAGGAACACCGAUGGCGAAGGCAGGUCUCUGGGCAUUAACUGAC